AUACGGAGGGUGCAAGCGUUGUUCGGAAUUAUUGGGCGUAAAGAGCAUGUAGGCGGACUGUUAAGUCUGGUGUGAAAGCCCGGGGCUCAACCCCGGAAGUGCAUUGGAUACUGGCAGUCUUGAGUAUGGGAGAGGAAAGUGGAAUUCCGAGUGUAGGAGUGAGAUCCGUAGAUAUUCGGAGGAACACCAGUGGCGAAGGCGGCUUUCUGGACCAAUACUGACGCUGAGAUGCGAAAGCGUGGGGAGCGAACAGGAUUAGAAACCCUAGUAGUCC
rnacentral:rRNA from 1 species